UACGAAGGGGGCUAGCGUUGCUCGGAAUGACUGGGCGUAAAGGGCGCGUAGGCGGCUCAUACAGUCAGAUGUGAAAUUCCUGGGCUUAACCUGGGGGCUGCAUUUGAUACGUGUGGGCUUGAGUGGGGAAGAGGGUCGUGGAAUUCCCAGUGUAGAGGUGAAAUUCGUAGAUAUUGGGAAGAACACCGGUGGCGAAGGCGGCGACCUGGUCCUUGACUGACGCUGAGGCGCGAAAGCGUGGGGGCAAACAGG
rnacentral:rRNA from 1 species